rnacentral:rRNA from 1 species
AACGAACGCUGGCGGCGUGCUUAACACAUGCAAGUCGAACGGUAAGGCCCUUCGGGGUACACGAGUGGCGAACGGGUGAGUAACACGUGGGUGAUCUGCCCUGCACUUCGGGAUAAGCCUGGGAAACUGGGUCUAAUACCGGAUAGGACCACUGCCUGCAUGGGUGGUGGUGGAAAGCUUUUGCGGUGUGGGAUGGGCCCGCGGCCUAUCAGCUUGUUGGUGGGGUGAUGGCCUACCAAGGCGACGACGGGUAGCCGGCCUGAGAGGGUGACCGGCCACACUGGGACGGAGAUACGGCCCAGGCUCCUACGGGAGGCAGGAGUGGGGAAGAUUGCACAAUGGGCGCAAGCCUGAUGCAGCGACGCCGCGUGAGGGAUGACGGCCUUCGGGUUGUAAACCUCUUUCAGCACCGACGAAGCGCAAGUGACGGUAGGUGCAGAAGAAGGACCGGCCAACUACGUGCCAGCCGCCGCCGUAACAC